AUUUCAUUAGUUUAUCUUUAAAAUAUGACUCUGAAGAAGUCAAGAAAUAGUGAAGUGA
rnacentral:tRNA from 1 species